rnacentral:rRNA from 1 species
UAAUAGUGUAUAUUAAAGUUGUUGCAGUUAAAAAGCUCGUAGUUGAAUGUUGGUGUCGAACGAGCGGUCAGCUUCGGCUGUACUGCUCUCUCGACUCCUUCCUUCUGUGGACUACGUCGCACUUUACUGUGUGGCGCUAGGACGCAGAUCGUUUACUGUGAAAAAAUUAGAGUGUUCAAAGCAGGCCGUACGCUUGAAUACAUUAGCAUGGAAUAAUGGAAUAGGACGUCGGGCCUAUUUUGUUGGUUCUAGGACCGUCGUAAUGAUUAAUAGGGACAGUUGGGGCCUUUUAUAUUCCGUAGUCAGAGGUGAAAUUCUUGGAUUUACGGAAGAUAAACUACUGCGAAAGCAUUCGGCAAGGAUGUUUUCGUUAA